ensembl:lncRNA
AUGAUGAAACAGGGAGGAAGGAUUUUUAAAAACACUUCUCUGGAAAUCGUGUCGUCAUCACUGAAAGGGAAUAAAAGGGAGGCGCAGCAAACAGAGAACAUUAGGGACACAGAGGGGGGAAGAUUCCUCAAACGCUGCAGACCACACAGGACCCCGUCUCUGCAAAAGCAACAGGCCUCUCCCAUCACAGAAAUUCAUCCUUGGAGACAUCUCACUCUCCUCUUCCACCCAGCGAUGAAUACGGCAACCCGCUGCAUCAUUCUCCUGGCCUGCGCCGCCAUUUGCACUUCCAACAGUCCAAUUCUGAACUGCCGCUGCGUUAAAAACAGCGAUGCCGUGUCUCGCCAUCUCAUCGCUCGCAUAAAGCAGCUCCCGCCUCGCUGGUACUGCAACAGGGAAGAACUCAUUGCCGUGCUGAAAGAUGGGAGAGAGAAGUGCCUCGCCCCCAACGGGAGGUUCGCCCAAGCGAUCAAGAGAUAUAGAACGCAGAGGGCAAUGACUCGCAAGACCAGCACCACCGGCCCCAAAACCACCGCGGCAUGAGGGCCCACAACGAUUGCACCCUGUUAAACUAUCCGUGACAGCCCUGUUUGAGAUGUAUUCAAGCUUGCCAGUAAUAAUGUGAAGGUUGGUAAAGGUGACAGUUUGUGGAACUGUUUGUAUUUCUACACCACACUGAAUGUAAUUGUCUGUAACGGCUGACCAUGAUGUACAACACUGACUCCUCAAACGUGCUGAAGAACUCCAAUAAAGAUGAACUGUAAAAGAAAAGACAGUUGGGCAUUUUAAAUUAAAUAACUUUUCAUAUUCCAGCAACGAUGAGACACAGAAUGGGCAUAAAAUAUAGAUGUAAAAUAAACAACGUACAUCUGUUCUUAGUUUUUGGUCAUAAAAUGGGGCGUUUUUGCUGAUCAUGCUGACGAGAAUUAAAAAGUCAGUUUCUAAGGAUUCUUUUUAAAACCAGAAGUAGCUGGUUGGCGAAUAUCCGGGGGACCAGCGGCUUGUGACGACCGUCUGUCCUUCUGGCAGGCCGGUGGUCAGUCUUGAUGUCUUUUUGUCAUGCCUUCCCAAAAGGAGAAGUCUCAAAUUUGUCAGUUAUGACACCUUCUGCUGCAAUUGUUAUUGGAACAAUGCUGAUAAAGUAAUAUUUUCGACCCACGGGUCAUAUAGCUCCUGUUUUAACAUACGCCAACAACAGAGUCGCAUCAAUAGGAACAAUAUUUUAGCUGGUGGUCGCGUCUUAAAAUGUAAGUAUUGUCCCAGUUAUACAGACAGAACAAACUGGAAAAGGAUCGCAAGGAUUUUUCCCAAAUUUUGCAGAGUCAUACUGUAAAGAUGCAAAGUCUUCUUGUCAUGUGCCGUUGAGGCUUCGAUUGUGUCGUGUCCUCAGUCACCGGGGAGGGAUGUUGGUCAGGGCAAGUCGGAGGACGCUUUGUCAUCAAAAAGAUGAUUUCAGCUCUAAAAUACAAAUGCAUGUUGCGAGUUUCUGACUAAAGCGAGAGAGACUUAAGAUAACCAGAACUAAUGGAUUGCAACCGUGUGGAGCGGCCCAUUCACAAAAUGUGAAUGUGUAUAUAUAACAUAUAUGUAAUUAUUGUAGUGUUUUUGUGAUCACACAGUGUACGCAAUGUUUUUUCUUGUUGUUAAUAAACGUAUACUUUAUCUAUUUAAAUUGUAAGUGAUUACUUUCAUGUUUACCACUCAUUCAUCAUUGGACACAUUGUGAUUUUGGGAAGUAAAAGUGAAAACAUAAAAAAAAAAAAAAAAACACAUGACAGUUUGAACUGAAAUUACUCAUGAAGAUAAAAGCUGAAAUGAAAUAGCAACAGUUUACUGCCACGAGGUCAGAACCAGCCCCAAAGUAUAAAACCCGUCCACGCCACCUGGCAGCGGGUCCUUUUCAUUUGUUAUUCUCAUUUGUCUUCCUCCGCUGCCGUGUGAAUCCCGGGGGGGGACAGAAGAGAACUCGAGGUGCGUCGCCGUGACUCAUUUCCCCGCCGAGACAAAAGCGUCGUCUUUCAACCUCAACGGGGCCCCUCGUCUGUCCCUGAACUCCCCGUCCCAUGACUGCCUUCUGCUGCACAU